rnacentral:rRNA from 1 species
UCAGCCCUAAACACAAAUAAUUUUAAAAACAAAAUUAUUCGCCAGAGUACUACCGGCAACAGCCUAAAACUCAAAGGACUUGGCGGUGCUUUAUACCCUUCUAGAGGAGCCUGUUCUAUAAUCGAUAAACCCCGAUAAACCUCACCAAUUCUUGCUAAUACAGUCUAUAUACCGCCAUCUUCAGCAAACCCUAAAAAGGAACAGAAGUAAGCGCAAUCAUAACAUAUAAAAACGUUAGGUCAAGGUGUAACCUAUGAAAUGGGAAGAAAUGGGCUACAUUUUCUACUUCAAGAAAACCCACAUACGAAAGUUAUUAUGAAACUAAUAACCAAAGGAGGAUUUAGUAGUAAACUAAGAAUAGAGUGCUUAGUUGAACUAGGCCAUGAAGCACGC